ACACAGUGGGUCAUUGACUCCGGAGCUAGUGACCAUAUGACAGGAUCUUUUGACGAAGAAGAUUAUUGGUAAGGGGAAGGAAGUCGGAGGGCUGUAUGUAUUGGAACAGCCUGUAUCUCCGUCCAAGGCUAUGUUGAGUGAUACCUCUCCUUUCCAGUUACACUGUCGGUAUGGUCACCCAUCACUGUCAAUCCUAAAUAAGCUCUUUCCUGGUUUAGAAUCAUUGUCCACUUUGCAGUGUGAGUCAUGUGAGUUUGCUAAGCAUUGUCGAGUUUCCUACCCUCCUCGUGUCAAUAAAAGAGUACAAUCUAUAUUUGAACUUGUUCAUUCUGAUGUCUGGGGUCCUUGUCAUGUCACAGGGAAGAAUGGGUUUAGAUAUUUCGUAACAUUUGUGGACGAUUUCUCUAGAUGUACAUGGUUAUAUCUUAUGAAGUCUA